ensembl:lncRNA
AAGGUAUGCGGAGACGUACUUUCAGUGGCUGCAGAGCCCGUGAGGUGCAGUUGGACUGGCCAGUUAAAUACCUCUCCAUCUAUAAGAACAGGUUGGAGCAUUUAUUGAAAUGGGAAAUUGUAUUGAAGUAAAUAUAGAAUGAAUAAAGGCCACCUUUUAAAUCUUUCAGUACAUGAGGACAGUCGAGUACCAUCAGUGAAAUCCUCCCUCCAUUAGUGGGCGUAUAAUGUGCGAGGGGUCUCUGUUGGAAAUGGCUUUAUUUCAAACUGCAAAGAUUGUAUGCACAGCCAGCAGUUUGUUCAGCUCAAUGCAACUCCAUUUAAAAGCUACAACAGCUGAAUGAACGGUAAUCCAACCUCAGGGCCUUGUCACAUUUAUUUGACAGUCAUCAGACACUCAGGAAUUUUUGAUAUGAUCAUAACUCAUAAUCUACACUCAGACCAUUGAUGCAUUCAUGUCAAACCUUUCUUUGAUUGUAGAGCAGAAAUUAUUGACCGGAGUUCCUUCUAGAGAUGUCCGGACACCUUUUUCCUUCCCGAUUCCCACAUGUGAGCUUGCUUAUCGGCCCAGUGCCGGUCCAGCUCUUACAGGCAAACAAUGGCCUUUCUAUACUACUUUGGCAGGUUUGUUAGCAUACGAUGUUGCUAGCACUGUAACGUUUUGAUUGCUCUGGCUAACGUUGAGCUUUUCGCUAGUGACUUUCAGCAGAGAUGAGAAAGACGUGCGAUGGCUCACUCGUUAGCUGCUUCUGUCGACAGUGUUUCGUUUGGUUUUUUUCUUCCUGGAGCUUAGGAUGGAAGAAGCCGUGAGGCGAGGCGUCACACUUCUCAUCCCUGCUGAGAGCUGCACAUGUGCAGUAGCGAUCGGGCAGAUCCUCUACGGCGUAAAUCACAUCACUUUAUAUUCAAUCAGCAGCCUUUUUGCUACUGAUGUCAGAACAACUGUGGUUCUGUCAAAGCAAACCUCAGAGGGGACUGUCACAAAUGUAUAGCUGUAGAAGGGGGGUGGGGGGAUUAAGCCAUUGUAGAUUCCAUAAGCAAUGUGGAGGGGAAUUCAAGUCCUAUGCAAUAGCUUGGCGCAUGUAGACAUUGAAGAAGACAGAGAAAAGUCCUUCACUUCAUUUUGCAUGUUAGUUCCUUUUUAGAGUGAGACCUGAGAUAAACAAACUAUUCCAUAGGACUGUCUCUUAAAAAUGCAGAAUGCAAACAUCACACCCAGUUCGUUUAUUUUAUGAUGGAUUUAACAAAAAAUAAAAAAUAUAUAUACAAGGGAGUUUCAAUCAGGGAUUGGAAGAAUGUUCAAAACCGUGUGAAUCUGAGUGAAUGUGUGCAAGAGGCCGAGUCACGAAAAGCCCUGACCAGGGAGUUAGAAGGAAACAUUUUAUUCUUCAUUUUGAGAAGCUGCGUUAAAACAAAACAAAAAAAAUAUGUAUGCGGAGGAAAUGCAUUCAGUGAAGGUAUGCGCUUUUUUUGAGUUUCCAUCGCGCCCGUGUUCUGAAGAAUAUGCCCCGCACCGACACCCGCAUUUCCCCUCGACUUCCCCCCCCCAUCUAUCCCGAGUAGCGGUGUUGUUCUGAUUUCAUGUACGUCUUGAG